UACGUAGGAGGCAAGCGUUGUCCGGAAUUAUUGGGCGUAAAGGGCGCGAGUAGGCGGCUUGGCAAUGGAUGGUGAAGUACCUCGGCUAACCUGACGGAACUGCCGUCCAAACUGCUUUGCUUGAGACCGGGAGAGGUGGAGUGGAAUUCCAGUGUAGCGGUGAAAUGCGUAGAUAUUGGGAGGAACACCAGUGGCGAAGGCGGCUCACUGGACCGGUACUGACGCUGAUGCGCGAAAGCG
rnacentral:rRNA from 1 species